GGGGGCACCUGGGGCCCUGGGGGAGCAGUCUUUUCCCAGGCCUUGCCUGGUGUCGCUGGCUUGCAUGGGAUCAGGAAGGGGGCCUGGAAGCAGAGGGGCUCUUAGGCAGAGCUGAAGGACAAGACUACUCCCAGGAGAGAGCCUGGCUCUGCACACCUGCCUGGCUCAUCUCCUGGGGUUCCCCACAACCUGGUUAGAGCCACACUGGCCCAGGGAUAAUCACCCUGACCCCAGCACCAAGCUCUGUGCCCAUGAUCCCUGCCCCUGGCAUCUGGAACUACUUGGAGCAUCUUUGGGACUUGUUGGAAGGCCAUAUAGAAAAGCCUUCCUCCAUCUUGGUAAUGGAGUGUUAGCUGAGCAGAUGAACACCUACACAACCAACUCGGCAGCUCUCCUGGGUGACGUGAACAGACUGCACAAAGAUAGCAGCAGAGGGGCCUCUGGAGGAGAGCAGAGACGUUUAUCACCUGCCAGAAGAGGACAGCUAUCGGUUUAUUGUCUGUCUCCCCACCUAAAAUUAGAGGAAGCUCCUCUUUUUCAAAAGAAAUACAAAAAAGACUGGAAGGAUACAGAGGACAAACUCCAGCGCUACCCACUUUUAAGUUCCAACUUCCUCCACUGAUAACAAUACCUGCGACAAUCCCUUGGGUAGCCAUAAAAGGGUAGAAGCUACCUAAUCCAACCUCAGAGGACAACCCUUAGUUGGAAUCAUAACCUUCUGAGCAGAGAGUCUAAGAGAUCUUCUGUGGUUUAGAAGAAUUGACGAAUUUAUCUGAAUUAUCUACUACAGAUAAACAAAUGUUCCUCAGAAAUAUGAAAGUAUGUCAAACUAUAAAGGGGCUACAGAAAGUUUAGUGGUAUUAUUUCCACUUUAAAAAUGUAUUCUCUCCUUAUCUUACUGAUAGUUUUUAAAAUUUCAUCAUAAAAUGUUGGUACUUAAAUGCAAUUGAUAUUUGUAAAUUAGACCUCAAUAGAGCUGAUUUCUUUUCUUUAAAAAGGCACUGGCAAUAACCUAGUACAACUCCCUCCUUUUAUAGGUAAGAGUAAAAAUAACAAAAGAUGACAUGUCUUGACUCUGCUACAGAGCUAAUUGCUAUCAGACUUGAAAUUAGAGAUCAGCUCUCCUGGAAACUGAUUAAGGUAUUUAUUUUCUCCUUGUUCUUUUAGGCACAUCCCCCUUCUUUGUAAAAUAUAACACAUAUGAAAAAAUGUACAAAAUAAAAAUUAAGUUAAAUGAUUACUAAGUGAAGACUAAUGAAAUCACCAUCUAGGCUAAGAAACAGAACCCUGGCAGCAACUGCUGUCUUGACUUGUUUUACAGUAGUCAUUACUUUUUACUUAUCAUUUUACCACAUAAGCAUUCAUUUCAUAUACAUGGCACAUUAGUUUGUAAACAAAACACCAAAUAACAACCACAAAAACUUUAUAUGAUGUACUCAGGCUACUGCAAGUAUUCUUUUGUCUGGUUUAUUUCACUCAACAUUAUGUUUGUAAGAGUUAAUCACAUUGACUCAUGUAUCUUUAGUUCACUGACUUUUCAAUGCUGUAUAACAUUCAUUGUAGGAAUGUACUGCUAUUUAUCCAGCCUACUGUUGAUUCUUGUGUGUCUCUUGGUGCAGAUGUGUACAUGUUGCUGUUGAGCAUAUUAAGUUGUAAAAUUGCAAAGUCACAGGACAUUGAUUAUACCAACUAAAGUUGUUUUCCAAAGUGUACCAUAAAAUGGUGCAGCUACUACAGAAAAGCAGUAUGGAGGUUUCUCAAAAAACUAAAAAUAGAAAUACCACAUA